rnacentral:tRNA from 1 species
GCUCCCGGUGUGCCGGUAAAGCUCCGAAGGCAGGGGUUGCUGGUUCGAUCCCAGCCGGGCGCGCCA